UACGUAGGGUGCGAGCGUUGUCCGGAAUUAUUGGGCGUAAAGAGCUCGUAGGCGGCCUGUCGCGUCGGAUGUGAAAACCCGGGGCUCAACUCCGGGCUUGCAUUCGAUACGGGCAGGCUAGAGUUCGGUAGGGGAGACUGGAAUUCCUGGUGUAGCGGUGAAAUGCGCAGAUAUCAGGAGGAACACCGGUGGCGAAGGCGGGUCUCUGGGCCGAUACUGACGCUGAGGAGCGAAAGCGUGGGGAGCGAACAGG
rnacentral:rRNA from 1 species